AUGUGUGCUGUGUGUGUGCUAUGUGUAGUGUGUGUGCUGUAUGUUGUGUGUGUAGUGUGUAGCGUAUAUGUUGUGUGUGGUUGUGGUGUGUGUAGUAUUUAUGUUGUGUGUGCUGUGUACUGUGUGCUGUAUGUGUUGUGUGUGUGCUAUUGUGUUGUAUGUGUAAUAUGUGUGUUGUGUGCUGUGUGUGCUGUGUUCUCUGUGUGUGUAGUGUGUAUGUUGUGUGCUGUGCAUGCUGUGUGUGUUUUCAUCUUUAUUUUUGUGAAGUCAGAGAGACAGAGACAGAGAUCUUCCUAUCCACUGGUUCAUUCCACAAAUGCCCGCACAGGCCAAGCCAAAGCCAGGAGCUUAGAACCCCACCCGGGUCUCCCAUGUGGGUGCGGGGACCCUGGAACCCCGUUGGGGUCUCCUGUGUGGGUGCGGGGACCCUGGAACCCCAUCCAGGGGAAGGGAGGAAGAAGCUGUGGAAUCACACCAGUGAAAAGCACCAGGGCUCUCUGUGCGGUUAGAUUCCAGCAUGAAAGCAACCCCGGGAGCGGGCGUUGCGGUGCAGCUGGUGAGGGACGCCUGUGUCUCAGAGAGAAGCACUUGUGCCUGGAGCAGGCAGAGGAUGGCUCAAGUACUUGGGUCCCCGCCACCCAUGUGGGAGACCCGGAUGGAGUUCCAGGCUCCUGGCUUGUCUGGCCCAGCCCCAGUGUUGCAGGCAUUUGGAAAGCAGCCAUCAGAUGGAAGAUCUCUCUGUAUCUCCCUCUCUUUUUAAAGAUGCCAUCGUUGGGUGUAGUCAGAUGGCGUCUCUGCCUCCCCCUGCAAUGCGGUUACUCUCCAGCCUUCAGGAGGCUCCUGCCUGCAUCUUCUCUGCAUAGCAGCCCCGGGAGCAAACGGCCUGUACUCCAGAAAGCUUUGGCUUUGCUUUCAAUUUUCCCAGCCUUGGCUGCAUUCUUCAGCCUGUCACGUCCCAGUGCUGCCACCUGUGGCCAUGGAAGACCAACACUUACAACAAGGGAGGGGAGCGAGGGCUGA
rnacentral:lncRNA from 1 species